rnacentral:pre_miRNA from 1 species
CCGGCUGUGAGUGCUUCUUUGGCAGUGUCUUAGCUGGUUGUUGUGAGUAAUAGCGAAGGAAGCAAUCAGCAAGUAUACUGCCCUAGAAGUGCUGCAC